CAUCGUCUGCAUACUGGAGCUGUGCCAGAGCUUGAGCCACUACCUAUUCCCAGACCUGACUUGACUUUACUCCAGAACUUACUCUUUGUUCCUUUUGCUCUAUCCCAUCUCUUACUGCCUGAAGUGGGGGCUUUAGAACCCGAAGCCUGUGCCUUUGACUGUUUCUGAAUAUUGGCACUCGCUUCCAUUUUCCUGGCUGCGUCUACUAUAGUGUGGAAACUCUCCUUUUCUGCUGGAAGAAUCAAGGAAGAAUACCUGGG
rnacentral:lncRNA from 1 species